UCUUUUGUCUUUUAUUUGGAUCCAGAAAUUUUUCAAUAGAAGCAUCUGGAUCAAGAGGAUCAAUUCUACAUGUUGGCAACACUAUCAUAUUAACAACAGAUUUGAUCAAAUUUGAAAGGUCUUCAAGUAAUUUUGUUUUGUCAAAAGUGUUUGAUUCAAACAGUUUAUUCACUUCCUGAACAUGUUUUAAAAUUGGAUUCAAAAAUAAAUGGUAAAGUUCCUUCCUAGAAUCACAAAACAUUCCAUGUAACAUUUGUGUUGUAAAGCAUUUUUCUUUUGUAGUUGUACUUUGGAAGUGAGUUUGCAAUUCAAACCAUUGGCUUAAAAUUCUA